GCUGAAAUAGUAACUUGUGCUUGGAGGAAACCUGUACACACCAGCAAGUCAUGAGGUCCAUUUGAUGCCAAUUUUUUUUCUUUCUCUCAAGAUUGUCAGGCACCUGGUUUCUCCCAGAUCAUCAGAUGGAGCCCAAUUUGUCCCUGACAUGUGUCUCACACUAUGACCCUCAUAUCAUGGACCUUCUUGCUGCUUAGCUAGUGCAAGCUAAUGACCCCAGUGCUAAACAUGAUUACUGCAUACUGGUGUGUGAAAUAAGCACAGACCUCUUUUUUUUUCAUGGGCUUUUCACCUCCAGUAUUCCAAACAGAGUGGGUGGGAGGAAACUACAGCAAGCAGUGGAAUAUCUAGAAUAUUUAGUGGGGGGGAAAGAGUGAGCCAUGUCUUCCCAGCAGCACCUCAGUGUGUCAGGCCUGGCUUUAAUCAGGGCUACCAGCCAUCAAUUUCAUGCACAAUAAAACUCAUGGCAGAAAUGAAAAGAUGUAAGGAAAGCAGACGAAAAAGACAACCAACUGUAUGUAUCAGAAAGUCUAAACAGGCCCCUUCCUUUCAAAGGGUUGCUGCCAGCUUGCUUUUAUUUAUCUUGGAAAUGAAAUCAUCAUGCAAAAAGGUUUUGUCUUAAUUAAAAUUUCCUGUUGUCCCAAGUGCAGAUGUGUGGUGGGUGUGAAAGGAAAUUAGUGAGUAAGCUGUGGGUAGACUUCUCUUUCCUGGUGAAUCCAGGCAGUAAUCAGUGAUACUAAAUUUCAGGAAGGUUUAAGUCAGGGAAAACAACACAAUCUAUCUGUUUCAAAUAAACAAAGCAAGAGAAAAAAAAGAGAAAAAUCCUUUUUCCACAUACAGCAUGAGUUCAAAUUAAAAAAAGACUAUUCAGCUCACGUAUCUAGCAGUACAAAAAGUAACAUCACUAACACAGUGCUGUCUUUAUUUUUUUUUAAUUUAUUUUUUUUUUCUUGUCAGCAGGGAUUCAAGCCAGCCUUUUGCAACCAAGACCUCAUUUACAAUUUAUGAAUUGCCCUAAGCCCAUUUCCAGGAUGAGCAGCUCCACCUUCCAUCUCUCCUGAAGAGCUCACCCAAACCCAGACUGUGGAGGAGGAGAGCUGAAGAAUGCACAAGAUUUGUGCAGGAUGGACUGGAUGCUAGUGCCACAGUGGAGUAAGGACACUUUAGCAGGCUUGUCCUUUCCUCCAGCACAACAUGAGCACUUUGUGAUGUAAGGGACUCUCCUAUCACAGACAUCAUCCUUGUAUUACAGACAAAAUCUCUUCUUUCUCAGGCAUUUUGUGUUACUGUUCUGCUCAUUUACCUUCCAGACAUCACUAGAGCCCUCUGCCACCAUCACUAAUUACCUCCAAGCAUCUGUGUGUGCCAGAAAAAUGCUCUCCUGCGUCAUUCUACUUAAACAAUCUCUCCCUCAGUGUGCAGACUCUGCCCUGUGGCCCUGUCUGGAGCAGAACACCAUGGCAGGGAUUCACUUCUUUCCAAGGGCACUGGUGUCAACUUACAGGAAUCCACUCUGAGACCUCCACAGGUGCCAAAGGAGAAAUUUGUGUACACCAAGACAACAGUAAUGACUCAAAUUGCCUGCCAUAUCGGACUGAGAAGCAUACAGCCUCCACAGUGGUCUGUCUGUCUUUACAGACGAUGGGGACAAGAAUUGCAGUGCCAUGGUGCUGGCACAUAGGUGCCUCACUCAGGUGUUGUACUCAAUCCUGCUUUCUUCCUUGGAAGGAAGAAUAAUAUCCUGACUUGACUGUACAACGUGUGAUGAUUAAGCACUUACAA